GGUAUAGAAAAAUCUGACAAAUAUCGUUUAUAAUUUCCUGACAUUUUGCAGUAAGAAGACUGUCAAUGCAGACAAAUUUAAACUGAAAACAACAACUGAACAACUGAAAAAGACAACUGUAAACCCGCGAGCGUCUCACGCGCUGCGAAUGCGGUUGUAAACAUAUGCUACGCAUUCGCAGCGCGUGAGACGUCCGUUGAAUAUUUGACAGUCGAGUCGUGAGUUUUAGUCGUGAGAUGCUACAGAAAAAUAAAGAAAAUGGCAAAAUAUGCACUAUUUGACUUUCCGGAUGAAGGGGCUGUGGACAUAGGCGAAAUAUCAUGGGUGGUAGGCGAAGUAAAUUUAAAAGAUCCUUUUGUAACGUAUAAAGUUAAUUGGCCAAACAAGGGAAGGAUUGUGUCAUGUCCAGACAGAUUAUAUCAGUCAGUGACAACAGAGAGGAGUUAGUUUGCAAGAGGAGGCAUUAUCUUCAUGGUGGAGACAAACUGUCGAGCCCGGAGUAGAAAGGGAAGGGGAAAAGGAAGAAACUGAAGAAUGGUCGAGAAAGGGAAGGGAAAAAGGAAGAAACUGAAGAAUGGUCGAUAUUCUGACGACGACGACGACGACGACGACGACGACGUAGUAUCGCUGGAUCCUCAGUUAAUUCAAUGUGAGAAGAAGAAGAAGAGAAAAAACACAGGUCUUAACGUCUUAAUGGAACUAGAAAAGCAAGGUAUUGGUGCAGUGAUGUACAAAUAUUUACCGUAUGGAAGUGCUUCUUAACAUCAGUGAAUUAUUGUAAUGUGAUGUAGCCUAAUGUUGUCUGUCAUAUUGUACACCAUGGGGUCGCCAACUGGCCUGCUUUGCCUGGCCUGUCAGAUCAUUUUGACUUUUUGCUUUCUGUCAAAAAUUAAGCAUAUUAACAAGAUUAGAUUUGAGUAUUCAUCUCCUGUUCCGCCUGCAUUGUCUACUCGCUCAGGCUCAUCCCCCAUGCUGACCUCUGUUGUACAGUCUUGAUGUAACCCUUAACUCUAUCUUCUGUUUGUCAUAGGAUCAUGUCAGCUGAACUCAAUUAACGAAACCAGGAAUGAAUGCCAUCACCCAUCUUGUGAGCUGUUGAGGGAGAACAACCACAGGCUGCAGAGGGAAAAUGAUUCUCUCUAGGCAAAAAUAGCAACAUUGAAAUUGCUGCCAGACGCUUUGCAGAAGAUGGAGGAGUUUCUCCGCUCAGCACCAAGACCAACGACAACACCAAUACCAACACCAACACCAAGACCAGAACCAUCACUAUCACCAGCACCAACAGCAGUUCCACCACCAGCAACAGAAGACCCAUCACCAGCUCCAGGUCCAUCAUCAGCAUCAGCAACAGAGGCCCUGGGCCACUCUGUCAUUCCAAAAGGACUUGUGGAGCGCUGCUCCUUCCAAAGCCCCCAGAAGUUCAUAAAUGAUCUCCUACAUGGGAUGUAUACCAGGGAAUAUAUGGCAGGCCAUUCAGUGACUGGCCAGUCAUCCAGCAGCUGCACAGAAGGAAAACCUGGCCUAGCCAAACAGGACCUUGUUGAAAUAACAAAUGCUGCAAAGUUGAAGUUCACCUACGUAACUGAUACGAACAUAAAAGCAUUUAUACGACAAAAGCUGAACAAUGCUGCCAAAUUUCAGAAACAAUAAAUUAUCAACUGUUAAA
ensembl:lncRNA